ACUGCUUCACAGUUGAUGUUGGUAAAUAUGUUAAGAUUUUUUUUAUGGGUUUCUGACAAAGAAGGUUUGGUUUUGGACUAGCUCCUCAAAACUAAUCCAUUAUUUGCAAGAAAGAAAUAGAUUUCCUGGUUUUAUUGUAUGUACAAUGCUUGAUGUGGAUAUUUUAAUUGAGGAUUUUGAUCUGCAUUUAUUCAAUGAAAUAUGGACUUAUCAAAAGAAAAAAAGAAAGAAAAAGAAAUUGAAGAUUUAAAUUGAUAUUUUAUUAGGAAGGUUAUCAGGCCUCUUUUUCUGUAGGCCCAUGAAUCGUGAUAACACUCUUAACAGUGCUUGCUAAACAAAACAUGACAUGGCCAAAACUAGUGCUGUAGUAGUUGACGUUGUUCUUAUGUUUAAUUUAUUUAUUGUUCCUCUACCCAUCAAAAUUGUCACAUUUUAUGAUUUUUAGUUCUAUUUAUUAUUUAAGUGUGCGGGGUUCAAGUCUUAAGAGUGGUCACUUGCCUCACUUCAUGCAAUAAAAUGCAGGAGAGUAGACUGUAUCCAAGUCACCCAUCCUAAGAAUCCACUAUAGUGGAAAUGGCAUUGGAUAAUGACCCUUUUAUGUUUAUCUGUGAUGCAGCUCUUCUUGGCUUUGUUGAAGGUCCUCUGUUUACCCUGCAGUGUCUCUGUGAGGUGACUACUUCAUUUGGGUGACAGAUGGGAUGCUUGCACAUCUCCAAAUCCUAUUGGAAGCACGAGCUAUUUAUCCUAAUCUUUCAAAAGCUUGGUUUAGCUCCUGAAAAGGUAUACUAAUUUUUGUGUUGUUUCUGUUUGUCGAUGUUGAAAUCUUCUAUGAUUUAUUGCCCUGUUAAGCGCAAGUUGUGUGGGUUUUCAAGUCUUAGGCUGUAUGGUGCAAUUGUAAAAGUCUCAGGUUUUCAAGUGCAAGUGCGCAGGUCAAAGUCUUGAUAGCAGA